rnacentral:rRNA from 1 species
AUACGGAAGGUCCGGGCGUUAUCCGGAUUUAUUGGGUUUAAAGGGUGCGCAGGCGGGAGAUUAAGUCGGCGGUGAAAUUUUGCAGCUCAACUGUAAAAGUGCCUUCGAAACUGGUUUCCUUGAGUGUAGAUGAAGUAGGCGGAAUUUGUGGUGUAGCGGUGAAAUGCAUAGAUAUCACGAGGAACUCCGAUUGCGCAGGCAGCUUACUAAACUACUACUGACGCUCAGGCACGAAGGCGUGGGGAUCAAACAGGAUUAGAUACCCUGGUAGUCCACGCAGUAAACGAUGAUUACUAGCUGUUUGCGAUACAAUGUAAGCGGCUGAGCGAAAGCGUUAAGUAAUCCACCUGGGGAGUACGUUCGCAAGAAUGAAACUCAAAUGAAUUGACGGGG